rnacentral:rRNA from 1 species
GUAGGUGGCAAGCGUUGUCCGGAAUUAUUGGGCGUAAAGCGCGCGCAGGCGGUUCUUUAAGUCUGAUGUGAAAGUCCACGGCUCAACCGUGGAGGGUCAUUGGAAACUGGAGAACUUGAGUACAGAAGAGGAAAGCGGAAUUCCACGUGUAGCGGUGAAAUGCGUAGAGAUGUGGAGGAACACCAGUGGCGAAGGCGGCUUUCUGGUCUGUAACUGACGCUGAGGCGCGAAAGCGUGGGGAGCAAACAGGGAUUAGAUACCCUGGUAGUCCACGCCGUAAACGAUGAGUGCUAAGUGUUAGGGGGUUUCCGCCCCCUUAGUGCUGCAGCUAACGCAUUAAGCACUCCGCCUGGGGAGUACGGCCGCAAGGCUG